AUUUAGGUUGGAAAUGUGAGAGAGAAAACGUGGGUAGUUUUUUAUAUUUAUAGAAGAUAAAAGAAGAAUAAAAGAGGUUCAGAAAGAGAUUUGAGUUGAAACUACUUUAUGUAUAAGAAGAGUCGGAUGUAAUCUUAUUUCCAGUGCAUAGUAAAAGAGUCAGGUGUAAUCUUAUUUUGAUUAAUGAAUCUUAUUUUAUUUAUAUUUUGCAUAGUAAAAGAGUCAGGUGUAAUCUUAUUUUGAUUAAUGAAUCUUAUUUUAUUUAUAUUUUUCGUUUAUUUUUUUUUCUUUUGUGAUUGUGUCAUUCAAUUGCUGAAAAGGCGAGUUUAUAAUAAAAAUUCUAAUAAUCAAUGCUGCACCAAGUACUGAACAGGUAAUGAGGUGAGAAUAACAAUAAAUUAUUUUUCAACAUUUUUUUAAAAGAGAAAGGUAGUAUAUAACUAUUUUGUUCAUUUUUCUGUGUAGUAAUGAACUUAGCUGUAAAUAUAAAAUAAUUUCAAAUACCAAUCAUCGAACUUUUUAUUAUAUUAUUUACGCUAGAGCCUAU
rnacentral:lncRNA from 1 species